AAGAUAUUAGAAAAACUAUUUCAUAACUUUGUCAAAGCUAAAUUAUAGGAUAUACCCUAUAUAUCUUA
rnacentral:tRNA from 1 species